UCCAAGGAGCUUGCUCCGAAAGAUUUAGUGGCGAACGGGUGAGUAUCACGUGAGCAACCUGCCCCGAAGAUUGGGAUAACACCGGGAAACCGGUGCUAAUACCGAAUACCCUCCACACAUCGCAUGAUGAGUAGAGGAAAUGUUUUUCGCUUCGGGAGGGGCUCGCGGUCCAUCAGCUUGUUGGCGGGGUAACGGCCCACCAAGGCUUCGACGGAUAGCUGGUCUGAGAGGACGAUCAGCCACACUGGAACUGAGACACGGUCCAGACUCCUACGGGAGGCAGCAGUGGGGAAUCUUGCGCAAUGGGCGAAAGCCUGACGCAGCAACGCCGCGUGAGGGACGAAGGCUUUCUGAG
rnacentral:rRNA from 1 species